AGAGUUUGAUCCUGGCUCAGGACGAACGCUGGCGGCGUGCUUAACACAUGCAAGUCGAGCGGUAAGGCCCUUCGGGGUACACGAGCGGCGAACGGGUGAGUAACACGUGGGUGACCUGCCCUCCACUUCGGGAUAAGCCUGGGAAACUGGGUCUAAUACCGGAUAGGACCUUGGGAUGCAUGUCCUGGGGUGGAAAGUUUUUUCGGUGGGGGAUGGGCCCGCGGUCUAUCAGCUUGUUGGUGGGGUGAUGGCCUACCAAGGCGACGACGGAUAGCCGGCCUGAGAGGGUGAUCGGCCACACUGGGACUGAGACACGGCCCAGACUCCUACGGGAGGCAGCAGUGGGGAAUCUUGCGCAAUGGGCGGAAGCCUGACGCAGCAACGCCGCGUGGGGGAUGACGGCCUUCGGGUUGUAAACCUCUUUCGCGAUCGACGAAGCUUCCGGUUGUUCCGGGGGUGACGGUAGGUCGAGAAGAAGCACCGGCCAACUACGUGCCAGCAGCCGCGGUAAUACGUAGGGUGCGAGCGUUGUCCGGAAUUAUUGGGCGUAAAGAGCUCGUAGGCGGUGUGUCGCGUCGGCCGUGAAAACCUGGGGCUCAACUCUGGGCGUGCGGUCGAUACGGGCAUCACUUGAGUUCGGCAGGGGAGACUGGAAUUCCUGGUGUAGCGGAAAUGCGCAGAUAUCAGGAGGAACACCGGUGGCGAAGGCGGGUCUCUGGGCCGAUACUGACGCUGAGGAGCGAAAGCAUGGGUAGCGAACAGGAUUAGAUACCCCCGUAGUCC
rnacentral:rRNA from 1 species